rnacentral:misc_RNA from 1 species
GUCGAAAUAAAAAUAUUAAAAAGACAUAAUAAUUUAAAAAAAAAUUACUAAAAUUUACAGGUAAAAUGUUGGAGGAACAAAAAAAUCAUUUUAAAAAAAUACAAUAAAAUUUAUACAUAAAAUUUAAUUAUAUUACUUUUGGAGGGCCAUGAUCCAAAAAUUACACUAGUUCCACCCUUGGAAAGAACAAUAUUUUUAAUGGGUUGUAAAGCCCUAUUCGCAAUAUUAGUUAUUAAAUAAUAAUUGCCAUUGCUAAUCGGUAGAUGUUAACAAUUAAUUGUUAUAUAAUACUUUUAAAGUAAAAAUAUUAGAUAAAAAU